CUUGUCUUCUCUUGAAAGCCAGGUCUGCCUUCGGUGGCCUUUCUAAAUAGUAAGGCUCACUGAGUCUGUACAUAGUCAAAGAUUUUAAUUUUAGAUCAGUCACAGUGGUCAGGUAUUCUGCCACUGUGUCCUCUCUGUUUAGGGUCAGUCACAGUGGUCAGGUAUUCUGUCACCGUGUCCUCUCUGUUUAGGGUCAGUCACAGUGGUCAGGUAUUCUGCCACUGUGUCCUCUCUGUUUAGGGCCAAAUAGCAUUCUAGUUUGCUCUGUUGUUUUGUUAAUUCUUUCCAGUGUGUCCACCAUUCUUUUGUUGUUUCCUCAUAAUGUGGUUGGGUCUAAUUGUGUUGCUGUCCUGGGGCUCUGUGGGGUCUGUUUGUGUUUGUGAACAGAGCCCAAGGACCAGCCGUUCUCUAG
ensembl:lncRNA